rnacentral:rRNA from 1 species
UCAAGCUCCCUUGUGUCAUUACACUCGACGACUGAUUACCAACCAGUCUGAGGGAACCUUUGAGCGCCUCCGUUACAAUUUAGGAGGCGACCGCCCCAGUCAAACUACCCGCCUGACGCUGUCCCUGAUCCAGAUAAUGGACCAAAGUUAGAGCUCCAAAAUACGCAGGGUGGUAUUUCACCAAUGACUCCACAAGUGCUGGCGCACCUGCUUCACAGUCUCCCACCUAUCCUACACAGCCCAGUUCAAAGCUCAACAUCAAGUUAUAGUAAAGGUCCACGGGGUCUUUCCGUCCUUCCGCAGCAAACGAGCAUCUUUACUCGUACUUCAAUUUCGCCGGGUCUAUGGUUGAGACAGCGGGGAAGUCGUUACGCCAUUCGUGCAGGUCGGAACUUACCCGACAAGGAAUUUCGCUACCUUAGGACCGUUAUAGUUACGGCCGCCAUUCACUGGGGCUUAGAUUCACAGCUUCGCCUUGCGGCUAACCGAUCCUCGUGACCUUCCAGCAUUGGGCAGGCGUCACAGCGUAUACAGCGCCUUGCGGCUUCGCACGCUGCUGUGUUUUUGUUAAACAGUCGCUACCCCCUGCUCUGUGCCACCCAUUCAGGCUGGCGACGCGAAGUCGCUUCACCCUACGUGGGUCCUCCUUCUUCCGAAGUUACGGAGGCAUUUUGCCGAGUUCCUUAACCAUAGUUCUCCCGAUCGCCUCGGUAUUCUCUACCUGCCCACCUGUGUCGGUUUGGGGUACGGGCGCCAUAUCUACUCACUGCUGGGCUUUUCUUGACAGUUUGGAAUUAGUGACUUCUCGGAAAUCCGAUCGGCAUCAUGUCUCAGAGUAUGUGUCCGCAACUCUCAUCGCAGACCUCCUACACAUUUACCCGGGGACUACCAUCGCCCCGGUACACCUAUCCUGCUGCGUCCCCCUUCAGUUACCCGCAUCCCGCUAGAUAGGUUCGCCCGAAGGCAGCCCCCACGUCGCAGAAAUUGAGCUUGGCGCGUAUAUGGCGGUACUGGAAUAUCAACCAGUUGUGCAUCGACUACGCCUCGCGGCCUCGUCUUAGCUCCCGACUUACCCUGGGAGGAUUAGCCUUCCCCAGGAACCCUUGGGCUUACGGCGGAGGAGUUUCUCACUCCUCUCUCGCUACUCAUGCCUACAUUCUCACUUGAUGACACUCCACGUCGGGUUAUCCCGCCGCUUCAGUCGCAUCAUCAACGCUCCUCUACCACUCCAACAUAAAUGUUGAAAUCCAUAGCUUCGGCUCAGGACUUGAGCCCCGUUAAAUUGUCCGCGCAGAUCCACUCGACCAGUGAGCUGUUACGCACUCUUUUAAGGAUGGCUGCUUCUAAGCCAACCUCCUGGCUGUCUGUGCAGAUCCACAUCGUUUUCCACUUAGUCCUGAAUUUGGGGCCUUAGCUGAUGAUCUGGGCUGUUUCCCUUUCGACCAACGAAGCUCAUCCCCCGUGGUCUCACUGCCAUGCUCUGGAGUACCGUAAUUCGGAGUUUGGCUGGGGUC